CGCGACGUAGCUCAGCAGGCAGAGCACACCUCUUAUAAGGGUGGGCACGCCGGUUCGACCCCGGCCGUCGCGAC
rnacentral:tRNA from 1 species